rnacentral:rRNA from 1 species
GAUGAACGCUAGCGACAGGCCUAACACAUGCAAGUCGAGGGGUAGAACACUUCGGUGUUUGAGACCGGCGCACGGGUGCGUAACGCGUAUGCAAUCUACCUUAUACAGGGGAAUAGCCCAGAGAAAUUUGGAUUAAUGCCCCAUAGCAUUACGACUUGGCAUCAAGAUGUAAUUAAAGUUCCAACGGUAUAAGAUGAGCAUGCGUCCCAUUAGUUAGUUGGUAAGGUAACGGCUUACCAAGAAAAUGAUGGGUAGGGGUCCUGAGAGGGAGAUCCCCCACACUGGUACUGAGACACGGACCAGACUCCUACGGGAGGCAGCAGUGAGGAAUAUUGGUCAAUGGGCGCAAGCCUGAACCAGCCAUGCCGCGUGCAGGAAGACGGUCCUAUGGAUUGUAAACUGCUUUUAUACAGGAAGAAACAUCCCGACGUGUCGGGACUUGACGGUACUGUAGGAAUAAGGAUCGGCUAACUCCGUGCCAGCCGCCGCCGUAAUAC